rnacentral:sRNA from 1 species
UCUAUGGUUGAGUGGUGCUUCUGAAAGCC